rfam:Paenibacillus sp. MAEPY2 contig20, whole genome shotgun sequence.
AGCAAUAGAAUAGGCUUAAAGGGUCGGUCGGCUACCUCGCCAUGAAGGGAGGGAUGCCCUGUGACAGUUUUUGAAGCAAUCAUGUUGAUGCUUACCUUUGGUACUCUCAUCGUUGCCAUUCUGUCCGAUAAACGCAAAUAGACCGCCCCCAUAGCAAAGGAAUGCGGUCUAUUUCAUCGUGCCCUUAUGUUACUGAAGCCCACCGCCCUUAAAAGCGGCUAUUGCUCAGAGGAGUCGUGUUACCAGCACGGCUC